rnacentral:rRNA from 1 species
CCUACGGGAGGCAGCAGUGAGGAAUAUUGGUCAAUGGACGAGAGUCUGAACCAGCCAAGUAGCGUGAAGGAUGACUGCCCUAUGGGUUGUAAACUUCUUUUAUAUGGGAAUAAAACGUUCCACGUGUGGGAUUUUGUAUGUACCAUAUGAAUAAGGAUCGGCUAACUCCGUGCCAGCAGCCGCGGUAAUACGGAGGAUCCGAGCGUUAUCCGGAUUUAUUGGGUUUAAAGGGAGCGUAGGUGGAUUGUUAAGUCAGUUGUGAAAGUUUGCGGCUCAACCGUAAAAUUGCAGUUGAAACUGGCAGUCUUGAGUACAGUAGAGGUGGGCGGAAUGCGUGGUGUAGCGGUGAAAUGCUUAGAGAUCACGAAGAACUCCGAUUGCGAAGGCAGUUCACUGGACUGCAACUGACACUGAGGCUCGAAAGUGUGGGUAUCAAACAGGAUUAGAUACCCCAGUAGUC